UUGAUUCAGCAGCACAUAUACUAAAACUGGAACAAUAGAGAAGAUUAGCAUGACCCUCAUGCAAGAAUAAUAUGCAAACUUAUAAAGUGUUCUUUUUUUUU
ensembl:snRNA U6 U6 spliceosomal RNA